GUACUAAUGGAGCGCGCGCCCAGAGAUCACCUGGGGCGCACGAGGACAAGUUUGCCAUCAGUUCUUCUGAAGCGGGCACCGAGGGGCUUGUCACCGGCUCACCUGGCACGCAAGUAAAGGAAGCACCUGAUGAGGCUGAAGUGGUGUUCACGGCACAUUGCAAAGCAACGGUGUCCUUCCAGGAUGAUGGGUGUUAUCCAAGCCACGUGUUUACUGUCUGACUCCAUCAACAGCAGCCAACAGAGAUGAAUGGAAGCAAAGAGGAGAAAGAAAACAUCCAGCUCCCUGGGCCAGGGUCAGGUGCUCCCAGCUCUCUGGAGGCCCUGAUCUUUUGGCAGUGUGAUGGCAGCAUGACCACAACGACCUUGGUUUUGCUAAGACUAGUGCUGGCUCAUCUACAGGAUUCAGAUGUGUCCUUCACUCAGGGAGCAAGGAAACAGCUUCUUGAGGUCCCUCCCCACCCUAAGAUUGGCAGGAAAGAAGAUUCUAUAUCUGAAUCCACAACAAAUGCUGUUUCCAAGUGGCCCUUGAUACGGACUGAUGGAGUCAUUUUACAUGUUCUGCCCAAGGGCUACUGGCAACAUCCAAAAGGCAACAGUUGUUAACAGUUUCAUGGAUUUCCUUACAGUAGAGGAAGCUUCAAUAUAUAAUUUUUGAGGUUGGUGAUUCUCAACUAGGAGCUAUUUUGCCCCCCAUCCCCCACCCGGCAGUGUCUGGAGACAGUUUUGAUUGUCACAACUGCGAGAAGUGGGUGCUACUGGAAUCACUGGGUAGAGGCCAGCAAUGCUGCUAAACAUCCUACAUUGCACAGGACACCCCCACAGCAAAGAAUUAUCUAGCCCGAAAUGUUAACUGUGCUGAGGCUGAGAAACCCUGAUUUAAAAACUGUGCUCAUAUAAUAAAACCGUGUAUCCUCUUUUGAUUUAAUGACCUAUGGACAAUUCUUUCUUUCUCAUGUGUUUACAUUCUGGCAUCACUCACUGGAGCCCUCUGCCCCAAGAUCGUAAGAGGAGAAACCCAACGUCCCCGGAAGAUUUUACUGCCAUGUCGGAGAACCACUCUGGCGUGAUACAUUUUUAAAACAGGACCAUAAGCAAGAGAUAUUUGGAGGUACUGUUUAGGAUUCAUCUGAGAAUGGUGGUAGGAAACUGCAGCUGUCUCUGUAGGAAAAUCCCAUGCUGCACCCUGACUGA
rnacentral:lncRNA from 1 species